rnacentral:rRNA from 1 species
AUUGAACGCUGGCGGCAGGCCUAACACAUGCAAGUCGAGCGGAUGAAGGGAGCUUGCUCCUGGAUUCAGCGCCGGACGGGUGAGUAAUGCCUAGGAAUCUGCCUGGUAGUGGGGGAUAACGUCCGGAAACGGGCGCUAAUACCGCAUACGUCCUGAGGGAGAAAGUGGGGGAUCUUCGGACCUCACGCUAUCAGAUGAGCCUAGGUCGGAUUAGCUAGUUGGUGGGGUAAAGGCCUACCAAGGCGACGAUCCGUAACUGGUCUGAGAGGAUGAUCAGUCACACUGGAACUGAGACACGGUCCAGACUCCUACGGGAGGCAGCAGUGGGGAAUAUUGGACAAUGGGCGAAAGCCUGAUCCAGCCAUGCCGCGUGUGUGAAGAAGGUCUUCGGAUUGUAAAGCACUUUAAGUUGGGAGGAAGGGCAGUAAGUUAAUACCUUGCUGUUUUGACGUUACCAACAGAAUAAGCACCGGCUAACUUCGUG